CCUUUAUUCGCGGUACCUAGCGAGAACAUGUCAUAUAACUCUGAAGAUGGUGAUAGGUCUCGAAAUGAGAGACCACAAAGUGGAGACCGUGGUGAUACCAAAGAGGAGUACAUCCCAGAAGCUGGUGGUCUCAUUGAGAGCAACUGGGAUGAGGUUGUGGACAACUUUGAUGACAUGAACCUCAGAGAAGAGCUAUUGAGAGGAAUCUAUGCCUAUGGAUUUGAGAAACCCUCUGCUAUUCAACAGAGAGCCAUUAUUCCUUGUAUUAAAGGACGAGAUGUGAUUGCUCAGGCCCAGUCUGGAACUGGCAAGACAGCAACUUUCUCCAUCGCUAUUUUACAGCAACUCAACAUAGAGGAGAAAGAUUGCCAGGCUCUUGUACUGGCCCCAACCAGGGAACUGGCUCAGCAGAUCCAGAAAGUUGUGAUAGCCCUUGGAGAUUACAUGGGAGCCUCCUGUCACGCCUGCAUUGGUGGAACCAAUGUCAGGGAAGACAUCCAUCGCCUGCAGGCUGGUGUCAACAUUGUUGUGGGAACACCAGGCCGUGUUUAUGACAUGAUCAGCAGAAGGGCACUAAGUAAGCAAAAGUUUAGGUGUAAUAUGACCAGUCAGCAAAGAAUCCCUAAAAAUAUAUAGAUGAUAAAGUCUUUUGCAUAUUAAACACUUGUUUAAAUGAAUAAACUUGAUUGUAGACCCCAGAAACAUCCAGCUGUUUGUUUUGGAUGAGGCUGACGAGAUGUUGUCCAGAGGAUUCAAAGAUCAAAUCUAUGAUGUCUUCAGGUUUAUGCCCCAGUCCAUACAGGUGAUCCUGUUGUCUGCCACCAUGCCUGUCGAAGUCCUUGAUGUCACCAAGAAGUUCAUGAGGGAUCCUAUCCGAAUCUUGGUCAAGAAGGAAGAAUUGACCCUUGAGGGUAUCAGGCAGUUCUACAUUCAAGUGGAAAGAGAGGAGUGGAAGCUUGACACCCUGUGUGAUCUGUACGAGACACUGACCAUCACACAGGCUGUCAUCUUCUGUAACACCAGGAGGAAGGUGGACUGGCUCACUGACAAGAUGCUUAGCCGUGACUUCACUGUGUCGGCUAUGCAUGGUGACAUGGAUCAGAAGGAGAGAGACGUUAUCAUGAGAGAAUUCCGCACCGGUUCCAGUCGUGUCCUGAUCACCACUGAUCUGCUGGCUCGGGGCAUUGAUGUACAACAAGUUUCCUUAGUCAUUAACUUUGAUCUUCCCGCCAACCGAGAAAACUACAUUCACAGGAUUGGUCGUGGAGGACGAUUUGGUAGAAAGGGAGUAGCCAUAAAUUUUGUCACUGCAGAGGAUGUACGGACUUUGCGUGAUAUUGAACAAUUUUACAAUACACAGAUUGAAGAAAUGCCCAUGAAUGUAGCUGAUCUGAUCUAAGCGUUUGCCACACUUCGGAGUUCUUGUCUUAUUUGCUAGUGAAUUCAGAAAACAUUUUCAGUGCAAUUUAUCUGGAAAUAAAAUAAAUUUAACAGUUGUCUAUGAAAUGUGAGUUGUGGACAAGAAGAAUCGAAUAUCGUGGUAUCAGAGAGCAGAAACUCUCCCCCUUUUUAUGUAAUCUGUGACUUUGUAUGGGAAAGUGCUGUAAUAUUGCUGCUUUUGUAACUGUUUAAUUUAUAUUUCUAGAAAUCUGAAGCAGCUCUUGCUCUUUCUUUAUUGAGAAAGAUUUGUCAGAAUUUAAUACAUUAUUGUAACAGGAAUAUUAUUUUUUUUUUCAUAUGAAGUGCAACGUUCUGGUGCAUUAUUGGAAUAGUUCUAAAUAUUUUGUUUUAACUGUAUGGUUAUUGGAACCAUUCUCUUGCUGUUUUGUACCAGGAGAUUUAGUAAAGCUGGCAAUGCACUGGACGUUCUCGUACCGCCAUCUAUUGCUGUGGAACAUCAGCUUUCCACAUCACGAGUGGAAAGGAGUGAAAUCACAUGAGACAGUAAAACCCCUGACUUUUAUCAGGAAUGUUUAUAUUACAUGUCAUGUGAAAAUAAGCAAUAGAUGUAUUAAAAAAUUCUAUAAUUAU
rnacentral:misc_RNA from 1 species